UAAAGGAGAUGAACAAAAAUUGUAUGGACGUGUGCCCCAGAAUGUACAGAGAUGAUAUCUGUGCCAUUUAAUAAAUGUACAGAGAUGAUAUCUGUGCCAUUUAAUAGUAAAAAUCUUCUAUUUUAAGAAGAAAAAAGUCGCAUGUUAUUUUGCAGUCGUGGCUUAAA